rnacentral:lncRNA from 1 species
ACACAUCUAACCACUCUUCAGCUGAUAUCCACUUGCUGACAAAUGAAUCUCUCUGGCCCCUGGACUGUGCCCUGAAACACAGCUUAAAACAGCAGAAUGAACAGUAAUCCCAGAGAUCCUGAGAUGAGAAAAGGGUGUUUGACUUAUUCAAAGAAGACCAAGGAAGCCCAAAGACCAGAGAAGAGUGCAGGAAAGGGGCGGCGGUCUGAGAUGCAGUCAGAGCAGUGGCAAGCCCCCAGAGUCUGUGGCAAAGACUUCAGGUUUCAUCCUGAAGAGGAAGACAGGUCUUUGGAGAGUUUUGAUCAAGGAAGUGAGAUGAAAUAUCUUAGGCUUACAAAGAACUACUCUGACAUCUAAAUGGAAAAUGGACUGAUGAAGCAAAAGAAGCCACAAGGAAGCCAGUUCAGAGGCUAUUGAAAUGCUCCAGAGGAACAGCGGUUUAUUGAAAGGAAAGCAAAUGUCCAGAAGCAAAAACAAACAAACAAAAAACAAACAAACAAACAAAAACAGAAAAAACUUCCCCAAAAGUAAAGAAUCACAGCUUUAUUCAGUAGCUCCUCAAUUAAAAUAGUCAUCUUCUUAAUUGUGCCAUCUUCAGAAGCAGCCAUAUAUACUGUAGUUAAGAGGCACAUGGUGAGAAAUUUGGGGUCCAAUCAAGAUGAUAGGAUUCAUCUACAUGGCAGCCCUCAAAGAUUCUGGAAGAGAAAAAUGGUGAAAAGAUACUCAGAGAGUGAGAGCCUUCAGAUUUGGGCCGCUGUGGUUCGUCUUCUGCCUGGGAACUGGAUAAAAACAUCAGUGAAUACCCCAAAGAUUUUCAAAAAUGCUUGUUGAUAAAAUGAAGUCAGAAUGUGAGAUGAGCCCUUCCACCUGAGUGAUGUUGGUCUUGGCUGUGUGAUUUGCUUUGGCUGAUGAUAAGUUGAUGGAAGUGAUAGUAAGACAAUGCUGAGCCUCAUCCUCGGAAGUAUCUCUGCCUUCACCUGGCUUUGUGCACCACUGCCCUGGCUUUGAGAAGAACAUGAGCCCAGUAAAUUGUUAGUCCAGGAAGAAUGAGAGAGAAAGUCCUGAGGCAGAGAAGUGGAGAGAAGUUGCUGCUUGAGCUUGAGAAAGAAUGGUGGCAGAGUACAUGCAUGGAAGUGCUACCAUAGCUGCUCUGAAAUCAGAGGAAAGUGGAAUUAUAAGAAGACCCCAUCUGACAAGGCUCAUAAAGGAGAGCAACUCUUAUGGAAUACAUCCAAGAUAUAUACGUCUUUGAAGAAAGACAUCACUCAACUGUGAAAGAUCACCAUGACCCCUGCUUUAAUUUCAUCAAAAAACUUAGUCCAUCAGCUCAGUUACCCUUUAGCCUUGCAUGGGAAUUGACUCAGAGCUUCUGCAAGAUCAGGCCCUAUAUUAGGUAUUGAGGGUUCAGGGAUGAACUAAGCUGAUCUGGUUCCUGCUCUCUAGGCUGUAGAAGAUGGCAAGUGCUGUGGACUUCAAAGAAAAGAUUUCUGAAGUGUCAUGUUAUGACAAUUGUGAUGCUUCAAACUAUGUUGACUAUUCAUUUACAGCAUAAAGAAGAGUGAGCCACUUUAUCACUGCAGUAAUUAUAUUUUAAAAAUAAAGAAAAUAAAACAAAUGGAGUUUCCCACCCAAUCCAUGGAGACACAGACACGAAGUCUUACUAUAGAUGUGUGGCCAAUCCUUACAUUGCUUUUAUUACAAGCCUGGAAAUGACAAUAAAAUACAUGAACUUGAGAGUAUAUA